GCCUCAGUAGCAUAGCGGUUAAUGCAAAGCCUCGGUUAUUCGAACCCGCGAGACGCGGGUUCGAAUCCCGCCUGACAUG
rnacentral:tRNA from 1 species